rnacentral:rRNA from 1 species
UACGGAGGGGGUUAGCGUUGUUCGGAAUGACUGGGCGUAAAGCGCGCGUAGGCGGAUCAUCAAGUCGGGGGUGAAAUCCCGGGGCUCAACCCCGGAAUGGCCUUCGAGACUGGUGGUCUUGAGUUCGAGAGAGGUGAGUGGAAUUCCGAGUGUAGAGGCGAAAUUCGUAGAUAUUCGGAGGAACACCAGUGGCGAAGGCGGCUCACUGGCUCGACACUGACGCUGAGGUGCGAAAGCGUGGGGAGCAAACCGG